rnacentral:rRNA from 1 species
GAUGAACGCUGGCGGCGUGCCUAAUACAUGCAAGUCGAGCGAACAGACGAGGAGCUUGCUCCUCUGACGUUAGCGGCGGACGGGUGAGUAACACGUGGAUAACCUACCUAUAAGACUGGGAUAACUUCGGGAAACCGGAGCUAAUACCGGAUAAUAUAUUGAACCGCAUGGUUCAAUAGUGAAAGACGGAUUUGCUGUCACUUAUAGAUGGAUCCGCGCCGCAUUAGCUAGUUGGUAAGGUAACGGCUUACCAAGGCAACGAUGCGUAGCCGACCUGAGAGGGUGAUCGGCCACACUAGAACGGAGACACGGUCCAGACCCCUACGGGAGGCAGCAGUAGGGAAUCUUCCGCAAGGGGCGAAAGCCUGACGGAGCAACGCCGCGUGAGUUAUGAAGGUCUUCGGAUCUUAAUACUCUGUUAUUAGGGAAGAACAAAUGUGUAAGUAACUAUGCACGUCUUGACGGUACCUAAUCAGAAAGCCACGGCUAACUACGUG